GCGACAGUGUGGGCGGUGGCGUGGUUAGAACGAAGGGUGCAAGCGUUGAGCGGAAUUAAUGGGCGUAAAGGGUGCGUAGGCGGUUAUUUAAGUCGGCCGUGAAAUCCCCGGGCUCAACCUGGGAAUGGCGGUGGAUACUGGAUAGCUAGAGUGUGUCAGAGGAUGGUGGAAUUCCCGGUGUAGCGGUGAAAUGCGUAGAGAUCGGGAGGAACAUCAGUGGCGAAGGCGGCCAUCUGGGACAACACUGACGCUGAAGCACGAAAGCGUGGGGAGCAAACAGGAUUAGAUACCCGUGUAGUC
rnacentral:rRNA from 1 species